UUUAAGUGCAACCACGAGUUUCCAUGUGAACUUUGAUAGUCCGUCUUAUUAAUUUUUUUUAUGAUUAGUAUUUUUAUUUUUAUUAGAUGAUAAAACAUGAAUAAUACUUAUGUUUUUAAUUUUUUUUAAUUUUUUUAAAUAAGACGGACGAUCAAAACUGGACACGGAAAAUCAUGUUGCACUUAAA
rfam:Oryza meridionalis cultivar OR44 (W2112) chromosome 1, whole genome shotgun sequence.